AGAAAUUCUGACACUCAGGCAUCACACUUCACCAAGGAGCAAACAGAACAAACUAGCUGAUAGGAAAUAAAAUGGAAGUGAAAUGCUGGGUGAGAUGACACAGAUGAAUCAUUUGAUGACACCUAUACAUAGGAGGCAACAGGCCAGGUGGGGCUCCUGUCUUUAUCCUGAACAUAUUCUGGGACAUGUCACCAGGAACCAUAUGACUGUGAGCUCAGACUGUAAGGAAAGGCCAGCUCUGAUCCUAGUGGAGAAAGGAUUCCUGAACUGUGUGGCCUGGAGACGGCAAACUACUUAUAUUAUUAAGCAACUCUUUGACAACAGGAAUGAAAGCUGUAGCUCAAGGAGUAUUGAAAGACUAUGGAGCAAUCCUAUGUCAACAAAGCUGAAGGACUAUUAAAGCCUGGGGAUGGCAAAGGAUUGU